rnacentral:rRNA from 1 species
AGCGAACGCUGGCGGCAGGCUUAACACAUGCAAGUCGAGCGGGCGUAGCAAUACGUCAGCGGCAGACGGGUGAGUAACGCGUGGGAACGUACCUUUUGGUUCGGAACAACACAGGGAAACUUGUGCUAAUACCGGAUAAGCCCUUACGGGGAAAGAUGUUAUCGCCGAAAGAUCGGCCCGCGUCUGAUUAGCUAGUUGGUGAGGUAAUGGCUCACCAAGGCGACGAUCAGUAGCUGGUCUGAGAGGAUGAUCAGCCACAUUGGGACUGAGACACGGCCCAAACUCCGACGGGAGGCAGCAGUGGGGAAUAUUGGACAAUGGGGGCAACCCUGAUCCAGCCAUGCCGCGUGAGUGAUGAAGGCCCUAGGGUUGUAAAGCUCUUUUGUGCGGGAAGAUAAUGACGGUACCGCAAGAAUAAGCCCCGGCUAACUUCGUGCCAGCCGCCGCGGUAAUAC